GCAUAAUUAUUUUCAUCACAGUACAUUAUAUAAUCAUCACUUAUAUAUUACUAUAUUUUCACAACUGCUAGCGUCUAGUAAUUAUACCAUAGUUAAUUAUCAAUCAAUAAUGGUGAUCAUACAUGAUAGUGCUGUUUAUUAUUAUUUAAAUAAUGACAACCACAAUAUACCUUAGGUAAUCAUUCAUGUAUAUUACAAUGUACUCAAUUUCACAUGAUCUACAUUCGCACAAUAAUAUUUCUAACAAUCAUUUACACUGUCUACAGAUGCACGUUUUUUUUUUUUUUACGUACUAUAAUCACAACUGUCAGGCUUUGUCCAUAUCUCUCCUUUAAGCCUUUCCACAAGAUGAGUGGAUCCUUGACGGUGAGAUAUUCAAUCUUCAAACAUUCAUCAAGGUGAUGGCGCAAGAAAAUCAAN
rnacentral:lncRNA from 1 species